rnacentral:rRNA from 1 species
GGAUCCAGACUUUGAUCAUGGCUCAGAUUGAACGCUGGCGGCAUGCCUUACACAUGCAAGUCGAACGGUAACAGGUCUUCGGAUGCUGACGAGUGGCGAACGGGUGAGUAAUACAUCGGAACGUGCCUAGUAGUGGGGGAUAACUACUCGAAAGAGUGGCUAAUACCGCAUGAGAUCUACGGAUGAAAGCAGGGGAUCGCAAGACCUUGUGCUACUAGAGCGGCCGAUGGCAGAUUAGGUAGUUGGUGGGAUAAAAGCUUACCAAGCCGACGAUCUGUAGCUGGUCUGAGAGGACGAUCAGCCACACUGGGACUGAGACACGGCCCAGACUCCUACGGGAGGCAGCAGUGGGGAAUUUUGGACAAUGGGCGCAAGCCUGAUCCAGCAAUGCCGCGUGCAGGAUGAAGGCCUUCGGGUUGUAAACUGCUUUUGUACGGAACGAAAAGCCCUGGGUUAAUACCCUGGGGUCAUGACGGUACCGUAAGAAUAAGCACCGGCUAACUACGUGCCAGCAGCCGCGGUAAU